CCUACGGGAGGCAGCAGUGAGGAAUAUUGGUCAAUGGACGAGGGCCUGAACCAGCCAAGUAGCGUGAAGGAAGACUGCCCUAUGGGUUGUAAACUUCUUUUAUAAGGGAAUAAUAUGUACUACGUGUGGGCAGAUGCACGUACCUUAUGAAUAAGGAUCGGCUAACUCCGUGCCAGCAGCCGCGGUAAUACGGAGGAUUCGAGCGUUAUCCGGAUUUAUUGGGUUUAAAGGGUGCGUAGGCGGUUUUUUAAGUUAGUUGUGAAAGUGUGGGGCUUAACCGUAAAAUGGCAAUUGAAACUGGAGGACUUGAGUACAGAAGAGGUAGGCGGAAUAAGUGGAGUAGCGGUGAAAUGCUUAGAUAUAACGUAGAACUCCGAUAGCGAAGGCAGCUUACCAGACUGUUACUGACGCUGAAGCACGAGAGUGUGGGUAGCGAACAGGAUUAGAUACCCUUGUAGUC
rnacentral:rRNA from 1 species